UUUUUUUUUUUUUUUUUUAAAAAUUAAAAAAAUCAAAUUCAAGAUAUACUAAAUGCAAAUAUUCGAUAGACUAAUUAUAAAAAAGGCAAAAUCAAUAACUUUGAAAAUAGCCUAAGAGCAACUCAUAUAAAUAAUUUAAAGCUCAAAUUAAAGAAAAGGAACAUCAAACCUUCUCAACACUUUUCUAAGAUCAUAUAGAAGUUAAUCUCUUCUAAAGAUAUAUGUUUAAUCACACCCGAUUAUAAAGAAGAAAAUAAAACGGCCUGUAUUAAUAAACAUUUCAGUAACCCACAUCACCAGAGAUAAGCCAGCUCAUCUCGCCAAAUAAGUAUCGGUANGAUUCAAAUAUUAAUUUUCUAUACUUUCGAUAAAAAAAGUAACAAAUUGUUCAUGACGACACUUACAUAGCAAGAGCAGCAACCAAAAGAGAUCCCAAAACUAAAGCACCAGCAGUGAAGCCGUUAGAAGCGGCUGAGCUUUCAUGGGAGGAAGAGGAAGAGGAAGAUGCAGAAGAAUCANNAAGAGUAUGUAGUGGUGGUAGCAGAACCAGUGGCAGAUGUGGCAGAUCCACUAGUAGCAGAGACAGUGGAAGACAAAUCAUAAGAACUAGUAGCAGAAAUGGUAGCAACCACUACCUUGGCAAGUGAAAUCAUCNCCCUUAAUAACACUGUCAUCAUUGGNCCCAAGGGCAAGUGAAAUUGGUAGNCCUUAGUCUCGACAGUGAGAGCACCCUUCCCAUCNCUCAAAUCAGGCAUAUCANNCCUNGAGAAGUUACCGAGAAGANCUAACCCCCNNCNACUUUCNGNGAUGACNGGGAAANCNUCAAUAGAAGUCANACCNGGUNCCGGUUAAAACGAAACCACCCNCCNACCNNGGNAAGGUUAGG
rnacentral:sRNA from 1 species